CCUACGGGAGGCAGCAGUGAGGAAUAUUGGUCAAUGGACGAGAGUCUGAACCAGCCAAGUAGCGUGAAGGCUGACUGCCCUAUGGGUUGUAAACUUCUUUUAUAUGGGAAUAAAACGUUCCACGUGUGGGAUUUUGUAUGUACCAUAUGAAUAAGGAUCGGCUAACUCCGUGCCAGCAGCCGCGGUAAUACGGAGGAUCCGAGCGUUAUCCGGAUUUAUUGGGUUUAAAGGGAGCGUAGGUGGAUUGUUAAGUCAGUUGUGAAAGUUUGCGGCUCAACCGUAAAAUUGCAGUUGAAACUGGCAGUCUUGAGUACAGUAGAGGUGGGCGGAAUUCGUGGUGUAGCGGUGAAAUGCUUAGAUAUCACGAAGAACUCCGAUUGCGAAGGCAGUUCACUGGACUGCAACUGACACUGAGGCUCGAAAGUGUGGGUAUCAAACAGGAUUAGAUACCCUUGUAGUC
rnacentral:rRNA from 1 species